rnacentral:rRNA from 1 species
GACGAACGCUGGCGGCGUGCUUAACACAUGCAAGUCGUACGGUAAGGCCCUUUCGGGGGUACACGAGUGGCGAACGGGUGCGUAACACGUGAGUAACCUGCCCACAACUUUGGGAUAACGCUAGGAAACUGGUGCUAAUACUGGAUAUGUGCUCCUGCUGCAUGGUGGGGGUUGGAAAGCUCCGGCGGUUGUGGAUGGACUCGCGGCCUAUCAGCUUGUUGGUGGGGUAGUGGCCUACCAAGGCGGCGACGGGUAGCCGGCCUGAGAGGGUGACCGGCCACAGUGGGACUGAGAGACGGCCCAGACUCCUACGGGAGGCAGCAGUGGGGAAUAUUGCACAAUGGGCGCAAGCCGGAUGCAGCAACGCCGCGUGCGGGAUGACGGCCUUCGGGUUGGAAACCGCUUUCAGCAGGGACGAAGCUUUUUGUGACGGUACCUGCAGAAGAAGCACCGGCUAACUACGUG